GCAAGAGUGUCUCCAAGUUUUGCUGGCCUCAUCAGCAGCAUGGGGAAGAGGUUCCAAGCUCCCACUGGCAAAGCACCAGGAACGAGUUACAAAGUGUGCUGAACUACCCAUGGAGGGGCCACAUCUGAUCUUCAGAGCAAGCCUCUGCCCCUUCCUCCCACCGGGUUCCAAUAUCCAAGAGUCAGACCUUAUGUUUCCAGCCGCUGGUGCGUAGAGGUGCUUGAUUAAAUCUUUUGAUAAGAAUUAAGUUUUGGUCCAUCACUGAGAAGAGAGCAUAAUUAACAGGCUUUAAAAAAAAAUAGGCUGCUUGUUAGAGCGGUUUUAGAUUCACAGUAACAUUGAGGGGACAGUACAGAGUGCUCCCUCACCCCUGCACCGGUUAUGGUUGAUGACCCUGCACGGAUCCACCAUCAUCACCCAGAGUCCAUAGUUCACGCCAGGGCUCACUCUUGGUGUUGUGCAUUCCGUGGGGUUCG
rnacentral:lncRNA from 1 species